GGGGGGAGAGCUGUGAGGACAGAAAGCCGGGGUGGGUGCUGCCAUCCCACAGAGGGAAGCAGAGAGGGCUGCAGGGACUUGGGAGGUAAGGGGAGAGGAAGAAGGAAAGGGGGGCUAGUUCUAUCUUCAUGUAUUGGAAGGGCUACUGACGAAAACUACCAGCUGGGGUGCCUCUAGUAGGGACCAGGCAGCCUAGGCUGGCUGUCUCCCAGUGCACCGUCCAGGGAGGUCUGAUUCUCCAUUAAUAACCCAGGAGCCUGAAGCUCAGGGCAGUGCAGCUGGUUGGCCAAAGACCCAUGGGGAGUGCGUUCAUAGAUUGACACCCUAAAGCCCACAUUCUGUCUACCUGAUGCUGAGCAGGGUCCCCUCCUGUCUGCAUGAUGGACCCAGCUCCCUCCAUGCCCUCCAGCCUGUGUUCAUGUCUCUUUACUUUCUAGACUGUCAAGGAGCCACCACAAGUGCACAUAAUACAAAGGGGCAAACUGGAUACCUUGUGUGACUUUGUUCAAAGCUGCAACCAGGUGCCAUUGAUGUGGUGUCAGCCUAGGAAAAAGGGUCGGUGCUUCAACUUCACCCUUGUGAGGCCGCCCUACAGGCCGGUUCCCUGCAGCCCGAAGAUCUGCCUUCCUCCCAGCCAGGCGUGCUUCCCCAUCAACGGCUGCUACUCCCGGUGCCAACACCCCACAGCCGUGUGCUCCCGACUCCCUUCCAGGAUGCUGCCGCUGAUCUCGCCCCCUACCCGGGCAGUCUGCGGAACCACUUUGUCCCUCCCGCCCCCAUAGCCCAGCCCCAAGAUUAUUAAGAGCCCUUUGUGCACUGAAUUAGACAUAUGUAUUGAGUCUUGGUUUACAGUCAAAGGAGUUGGAGUCUGUUGCUGAUCAGCAAGAGAGUUUGUUACCUGGAGAAUAUCGCCCCACUGUAUGAGACGUGUCUAUACUGCCCCUGCCAGGACAGAGCACCCUGGUGUCUUCUGGAUGCAGAUAUGGAUGCCUCCCACUCCCCACGGCCAGCUCUUCAUCUGUCACCACGGGCUGCAAUGCGUGCGGUUUUGGCCAAAUUCUGCUCCUUGAAAAAAACCCAAAUGUCUCUGAAAUUUGAAUACGAUGUUUUGUCACGUUCCCUAACUUCAUGCAGAGAGAAAGGCUAGAGUUUCUCCCCUCUUCCACUCCACGUUCUGGGUUUUUGUAUUCUGGCUACCCACCUUCUGAAUGUGUCCUAGAAAGAGGCAAGCCCCCCGAAAGCUCACCAGCUGCCAGAGUGACUUCUCUUUCCAGAUACUCCAAACAGUCCCUAAGCCCAGAAGAACCUUAGAGGACCCUCUUCUCCAUUUCCCUAGAGAAUGUAAACCCUCCCCUAUUUGCCAUUGGCCAUUGGCAGGACCAUAAGCAGUCACCUCCAGCCCAUGCUGGUAGGAAGUGAAAGUCCUCUCCGCCUUCUUCCUCAGUUCCUUGAAUGUCAUAAUCAUGCUUCUCAGUGGAAUUUCUGUAAGACAAGUGUAGGUAAAAAUAUGUC
rnacentral:lncRNA from 1 species